GGGCCAUCCUUGUGGAUUCCUGGAAGUUUCCCUGGCACCAGCUGUUCCAGCAACAUUUGUGUGAAUAGGCUCUUCUCCCCUGCCUGGUCUGAGAUGUCAGCUGUGCUCUUAGUGCAUCUGGAGGUGGAGAGCAUGCUACACUCAAGAAAAGGGUUACGAGCCGGCUCUCAGUCCACCUGUGUGAUGGUGGACACGCCCCUUUCUGCUUUUCUGAGCCUCCAAGUCUUCAUCUGUUAAGUAAUUUAUUUCCAAAGACGGGAUAAUUCUAUGUCCUAAAGGACACCAAUGUGCCCAGUAUUAAAGAGUCCACAGAAUGCCCUUCAUAUGACCCACGCUGCAUGGGUGUUUCCAACAGCUCUAGUCCUCCGUGAGUGAGGCCUCAGAUUUAUCCCACAAGAAAAUAAGCCUUAACCCCCCAGACGAAUUAUUUGUUUCGGCUCACCAAACGCUUUUUCCAUACUUCCUGACUUGGUUCCAAACUCAUUUCACAGGGCACACGGCUGUGACAUUUUCUGCUAAAAAUGAUUGAGAAUACCUGGCAAAGAGAAACUUGGUUUUUUGUUACUGCUCUGGGAAUGGCAGGCGUGGAUGAAAACCAUGCAAGGAAAGCCACUGGAACCCUGGGAUAUUCGUCCAGUCCAGCAUGAAGAAACGCUUGCUUACCAGGCAUUGCCAAUCAUGAUGUAAUUAUAACACCACAUGGCUUUUGUGGUUUGGUCCAUUGUGUUGUCUUAACACUGUGAGAUGGUCUGAAACAGGAAGUUAGU